AGCGAACGCUGGCGGCAGGCCUAACACAUGCAAGUCGAACGAACCCUUCGGGGUUAGUGGCGGACGGGUGAGUAACACGUGGGAACGUACCUUAGGUUCGGAACAACACAGGGGAAACUUGUGCUAAUGCCGAAUGUGCCCUUCGGGGGAAAGAUUUAUCGCCUUUAGAGCGGCCCGCGUCUGAUUAGCUUGUUGGUGAGGUAAAGGCUCACCAAGGCUUCGAUCAGUAGCUGGUCUGAGAGGAUGAUCAGCCACACUGGGACUGAGACACGGCCCAGACUCCUACGGGAGGCAGCAGUGGGGAAUCUUGCGCAAUGGGCGAAAGCCUGACGCAGCCAUGCCGCGUGAAUGAUGAAGGUCUUAGGAUUGUAAAAUUCUUUCACCGGGGAAGAUAAUGACGGUACCCGGAGAAGAAGCCCCGGCUAACUUCGUGCCAGCAGCCGCGGUAAU
rnacentral:rRNA from 1 species